GACUUCACAGUGCGGGAGGAGCUGCAGCAGCAGGACGUGGAGCGCUGGCUGGGCUUCAUCACCUUCCUGUGCGAGGUCUUCGGCACCAUGCGCAGCAGCACGGGCGAGCCCUUCCGCGUGCUCGUCUGCCCCAUCUACACCUGUCUCAGGGAGGCAACACCCUGAAGAUUAUCAUCCCCAUUUUCCAGAGAACAGACAGAUCAGACAGCUUGCUCACAGCCACACAGUUAGCGGGCAGCAGAGUCAAUAUCGGAAUCCAGACGUGACUGCCCGAGUCCCUGCUCCUAAACACCCUGCUUCACUGCCUUACAAGCAGAAGCGGGAGCUGCUCUUAUUCUAUUCUCGUCCAUACCCAGCGCUUACUCUGUGGUGGAAGCCAAAUAGAUCUUUGUGGGAUUGAUCCUGUUUUUGCCAUAAAUAGCAUGUGCCAAUCAGAGAUCCCUCUUCGAGGGAUGGAGAAGAAUAAUUUUCAACAAGCUCUUUAAUUGUUUAAGAGCAAACAGUUUCUGCCAAGAUGGUUUUCCAAGUGAGUGAGGAGUAGUACUGGUGACCAGAAGCUGCGUGAGUCUUCUUGCCCUACUGUUUACAGCUCAUAUUUGCCUCAUGAGCUCUUUUUAAUUUUUUUUAAUGUUUUCAAAUGUUUAUUGUGGUAAGAACACUUAACAUGAGAUCUAUUCUCAUAACAGCUAUUUAAGUAUACAGUACAGUACCGUUAUCUGUAGGCACAACGUAGUACAGCAGAUCUCUAGAAUUUAUUCAUCUGGCAUGACUGAAAUUUUAUACCUGGUGAUUAGCAACCCCCCACUUCCUCCUCCCCGCAGCCUCCAGCAACUCCUAUCUUAUUCUUUGUUUCUAUGAAUUUGACUAUCUUAGAUCCCUCAUAUAAACGGAAACAUGCAGCAUUUGUCCUUCUGUGACUGCUUAUUUCACUUGGCAUAAUGUCUUCCAGAUUCAACCAUGUUGUCCCAUAUUGCGAAUUUCCUU